rnacentral:sRNA from 4 species
AUGUACCACGCGUACACGCCGGUUUCUGCGCGCCGUCCGCACCCACCUGACGAUUGCUCGCUACGUUUUGCAAGCC